UUAGGAAUCUUGCGCAAUGGACGAAAGUCUGACGCAGCGACAUCGCGUGAAGGAUGAAGGCCCUCGGGUCGUAAACUUCUUUUAUUUUUUCAUGAAGAAAUUUUGAAUCAGCAACUACUAACUACGUGCCAGCAGUCGCGGUAAUACGUAGGUUGCAAGCGUUACCCGGUUUUAUUGGGCGUAAAGCGUCUGUAGGUUGUUUUAUAAGUCUUGUUUCAAAGACUCCGGCUCAACCGGAGGCAGGGGCAGGAUACUGUAAGACUAGAGUGAUAUCGGGGUUACUGGAAUUUUUAGUGUAGGGGUAAAAUCCGUGGAUACUAAAAAGAACACCAAGCGCGAAGGCGGGUAACUAGGUAUAUACUGACACUCAGAGACGAAAGCUAGGGUAGCCAAUCAGAUU
rnacentral:rRNA from 1 species